GUGUUUGCUUCAGCAGUACAUAUAUUAAAGUUGGAGUGAUAAAAAAAGAUUAGCAUGGUGCUUGCUCAAGGAUGACAUGCAAAUUUGUGAAGCAUUCAUAUUCCAU
rnacentral:snRNA from 1 species